AAGCUUAGUGCCUUCCUCACAGCUGUGGUUUUUCAAGUAAGAACUAGCUUCCUGAUUUCACCUUCUUCCCUCUUGUGAUCUGAUUCUCUUUGUGAGUAAGGGCUUCAUCGCUCUUCCUUCUUAUAUGACUGCAAGAUUUUUCACUGUAGCCAACAGAUGGCACAAGACAUCCUGUGAGCUUCUCCCUGACCAUGUAUCAGAUGGCCUCAGCCAAAGGUGGGGUGAAGUGGUGGAGAUUCUCCAGCACGCUUGGCAGCCCAGCUUGGAGAUUGCUGUUUGCAAGAGAAGGGAAUGUGCCAGCUUUCACAGAUCUGUACUUGCAGGAGGAGACCUAGACCUGUGAGGCAGCACCCUGCCAUCCGGCUCCUGGCUGGCACCCAGACCCUUUCUCAAGCUCCAUCAAUGCAAUGAAAUAUUUUCUGCCCAGAAAAGUCAUUCCAGAUUUGUAUACAAAAGUAACCAGAGUAUCAACUGGCAAUUAUGAGGUGAAUGUUUUAAGUAAAUUUAUUGGGUUUGCACAGUCUGGUUUUGGUAGCAGAGAGGCUACAGAGAUGUCUUCUAUGAGAAACUGCUGGAAGCUUCUUCCAUGUGCCUGGAAAAUCCCUGGUGGCUCCAAAGAUGGACAUGCUGCUUGUAUAAUUAGAAAUGAUGGUAACACUUCUGUGAUAACAUAUUUAAGAAGAAUUCAAAACCAAAAGGGAUUGCAGAGUUGUAAUUUUGACUAGAGAAGAGCAGAGAGAGAACAUGUGGGAAGAACAACUCUGCAGACACCAUGGUCAGUGAAGAAGGAGGGGCAGGAGCUGCUCCAGGCACCGGAGCUGAGAUUCCUCUGCAGGCUGUGGUGCAGCCCAUGGUGAUGCAGCUGUGCCCCUGCAGCCCAUGGGGAUCCAUGGGGGAUGCAGAGAUCCACCCACAGCCCAUGGAGGGGCCCAUGCUGGAGCAGGUGGAUGGCUGGAGGAGGCUGUGAUCCUGUGGGAGACCUGUGUAGAGAGGGGCCCUGCCCCCAGGCUGGAGCAGCCUGUCCUUGGAGCACUGCACCCUGUGGGAAGAGGGACCCACACUGCAGCAGUUUGAGGGGGACUGGUGCCCAUGAGAUGGACUCACAUUACAGCAGUUCACAGGGAGUUGUUUCUCCUGAGAUGGAACCAUGUUGGAGAAGUUGAUGGAAAACUGUCUCCUAUGGGAGAGUCCCCAUUGUGCAACAGGGGAACAACUCCUCUUCCUGAGCAAUGGGAGAAGCCUUGGGUGAUGAACCGAUCAAAAUCAAAAUAUUUAGGUCAAUUUCCUUUUAUGGAACAGUUUUCUUUAAAAAAAGUUUUCCUUAAAAAUUGUUUUUCUCCUCAUGCACAAAGUGAAAUUACACACAUUUAUGAAUAAUAAUAAUGUCUUACAUUUUACCAUCACUUAUCAGGAAAUACUAAUUAAUCAACGAAACAGCAACUACUCAUUCUGUUUUGCAUUAUUAUGGUGUUGGCAUGCAGCUGACAGCUAACUGGAGAGAUGGACAGAAUAUUUAAAUAUCAAAUACAUUUCUUCAGCCUAGUUGCUGAAGAACUUUUUCAGAAAAGUUGCUCUGCAAUAAUGAAAUGAUUGCCAGAUAAAUUUGCUGAAAAUUUGUCAGGCAGCAAGUAGUGUAUUUGGAGUCAGUAUAAUCAAAUACCUACACAAUGUUAACACAGAAUCAUGAAGUCACAGAAGCUCUACAAAUCAAAAUUUAUUCCAGUGCAUAAUUUUUUGGAAAAAUCUUGUUGCACAAAUGUAUUUGCCACAGUACUGGAAAUAGAGUAAGGCAUUGUGCAUCAAAUUAUUAUCAGGAAAUCUGGGUGUUUUCCAGUUUUCUUUGGAAUUUACUUUAUUUUUGUUGUUAUUGUUUUUGUUUUUGCAAAAACCCCAAAAUACAUGUGGAAGAAUUCACGAGGCAGACUGGAAAGAUAAAAUGAGAUGAGCAAAACAGAAGACUAAAAUAAAGGAAAAGGGGAAGUAUGGCUUAAUGGUGGCAAUGUUUGAUGGUCAUCAUACCAUGGUUGAUGGUUGGACUUGAUGAUCUCAAAGGUCUUUUUCAAUCCUGAUGAUGAUACAAUUUUGUAAGACAGGAAUACAUGAUCUGAGCUUUACAAUGAAAGUGAAGGGCAAAAGUACAAAAAGUAAUUAUAUGUGCUAACAGAAGGCAAAAUAGUAGUGUGGUAAAUCUGUACUCCUACUGCCCAAGGAUACAUUUUUCCUCUUUUUAUCUUGUCGGUUAAAUCAAUAAGAAAUUGUUUUCCAAACUUUGCAUUUUAUUUUAUGUUGUCCAGUCAUUACAUCCUGCAGAGAUGAAAAAUAUUAUCACUGUUCAGAAAGGGUACCAGUUGCUCCUUUGGCCAGAAUAUAACUAACAAAAAGAAACCUGAAGACUGGUUUUCAAUACUUUUUUUUUUUUCUUUAACAAUAAAAUGACAGUGCUUUAGCCUUCUCCUUUGAAAGAAGAUGUUGGAAAGUAUUGUUAUUAACUGUCUCUCCCUAUUCUACUCAGCCACAUUUUCACAUGUUUUCUUAAGACUUCUGUCCACUUGGAUUGGAAUAGCAUUGGACAGUAAUGUAAAAAGUCAAUAGGAGGAGGUGAGAAAGAGGGGUGUAGAAGCAAAGAGGCAUAAUGAUCCAAUAUGUCCAGUUGUCUCCAGGAAAAUCCCCUAAAAUAACGGAGCAAUAAAAAUAGUGGAGCAGUAUUUAAAUUUUUCCUAUCCACAUAAGCCUUCUUGCUCUACUUUGUAGAGAAAUGUAGAGGCCAAAAACUAUUGCAUAGCUACAUUUGUCUGUAAAGAUCACAAGACUCUUUCCUCUCUCUGCACAAAGUGCAAAGAUCCUUUCACAUGAAGUGAGCACAUGCUCUGUUUCCAUAUGUCUUGUCAUCUUCCUUUAUGGUCCAGGACAUCAGAGCACACGCAAUGCAGAGCAUGAAUUCAUAGCAAGAACACUUUGCUUCUUUUUCAAUUUCUUACUGGCUUAGAGAGAUAACAGAAGUUUCCCCUAACAAGAAGAUCAGCUGAAAAAAUAAAUUAGACAAUUAGCUCAAAGUAGCUCAUCAUAUUUGCUGUGUAUUCUAGUUUGUUGGUUUUCUUCCCUUCCGUAGCCAAUACCUUUUGUCUUAUAUAACAAGCUAUAAUUAUUAGACUAACGUCACUCAAAAGUCUGACUCAGCUAUUAAUAAUGCUAAAGAUAAAGGAGCACUUACUGCUGGGUUUUGAGUUAUUUUGUUCCCACUGAGUCAGGAGUUCUUUGCCAAGAGCUUUUGAAAUCUUCCACUUUGCCAUUUGAACUUGUGCCUUUUUCACAAUAGUAAGCAGCACAUUCAGACCCUCAGUAUGUACACCCACACACCAUGUCCUGCUCAUACAUCAAUUUACAUUUACUUUGUUAUUCUGCCAGCCUUUCUUAAUUCUACCAGUCAUCCUUCCUUUUUGCAAUUCAAAUGAGUCAUGGAAUCCUUCAACCUGUUGUAGCAUAAGAAGUUUUCCUACAUUCUUGUUGACAAUGGUUUCCUGAGAGCCUCAAUACAAGCAGUGACUUAAGGUGUUUUCUAAAUAAGGUCUUGAAAAUUAUUUCUGUAAAUAUGACUUCAUUUAGCAGCUGAAGUACCCUAGCUCUAUACUAUAUUCCCCAACAAUAUUUUUUGGGAAUUUUAGCUCCUACCUCAAUUGAUAAAAUAUGGCAUAACCUAUUUCAGGUCUGGGAGAAAUGCUCUUCAACUGUGGUCCCUUAGACUGUAAAGCUCUGUAUUUGGUCUGGCUGAGAUGGAGUUAAUUUUGUCACAGCAGUCCUCACAGUGACAUGUUUUGCAUUAUUAGCUGGAAAGGUGUUGACAACAGAGCGCCUUGGUCGCUGCUGGGCAGUGCUGGCAUAGCACCAGCCUCUCUUUUCACCAUUAGGCUGGGAUGAGCAAGAUCUUGGGAGGGGACAGAGCCAGGACAGCUGACCCAAACGAGCUGAAAGAAUAUUUCAUAUCAUGUCUGGUCAGCAAUACAGUAAUACAAACUAAGGGAAAGGAGGAUAAAGUGCGGGGUGGGGGGAGAAGAUUUGUUGUUAUGAUGUUUAUCUUCCAGAGCAAUUGCACAUAUAGAAGCUUUACUUUCCAAGAGGUGGCUGGACAUUACCUGCUGAUAGGAAGAAGAGAAUAAAUCUAUUGUUUUCCUCUGCUUCCACAUGCAGCCAUUGUUUUUACUUUAUUAAACUGCCUUAUUCUUCA